ACGAACGCUGGCGGCGUGCUUAACACAUGCAAGUCGAACGGAAAGGACCUGCUUUUGUGGGGUGCUCGAGUGGCGAACGGGGGAGUAACACGUGAGUAACCUGCCCUUGACUUUGGGAUAACUUCAGGAAACUGGGGCUAAUACCGGAUAGGAGCUCCUGCUGCAUGGGGGGGGAUGGAAAGUUUCGGCGGUUGGGGAUGGACUCGCGGCGUAUCAGCUUGGUGGUGGGGUAGUGGCUUACCAAGGCUUGGACGGGUAGCCGGCCUGAGAGGGUGACCGGCCACAUUGGGACUGAGGUACGGCCCAGGCUGCUACGGGAGGCAGCAGUGGGGAAUAUUGCACAAUGGGCGGAAGCCGGAUGCAGCAACGCCGCGUGCGGGAAGACGGCCUUCGGGUUGUAAACCGCUUUCGCCUGUGACGAAGCGUGAGUGACGGUAAUGGGUAAAGAAGCACCGGCUAACUACGUG
rnacentral:rRNA from 1 species